UUUUAUAUAUAAUAAAUAUUAUAUUACCAGAGUACCUUUUCUCAAAUAAGUCAUAUUUGAGUAAUAAUAAUAGUAAUAAUAAUAAUAAAGUUAUAAAGUAAUAAUAAUAAAGUAAAUAAUAAAAGCUAGAGUCAGGUGGUGGUAGCUCAUCUCUGUACUCAGGGAUGUAGAGGCAAGUGGAUCUCUGAGUUUGAGGCUAGCCUGGUCUACAAAGGGAGUUCUAGAACAGCAGGGCUGUAACAGAGAGAAACCUUCUCUCUCAAAAAAGAAAAGAAAUAGGCAGAAGCAGUAGUACAUGCCCUUAAUCUUAGCAGUCAAGUGGUUGAGUUUAAGUUUACAUGAGACUUCAUCUGCAAAUACCAAAAACACCCCCCCAAACUCAAAAUAACAACAACAGCAAGACCCCAAUUCCCACCCCACCUCUCCAAAGCACCUCUCUCAAUUCCAGAAUAUUCAGUGAUGACUCUUUCAGACUGUUAACCUUUGUUUUGUUUUUGUUUUUUGAAGCAGGGUUUCUCUGUGUAGCCCUGGCUGUCCCUGCAUUUGCUCUGUAGACCAGGCUGCUAAUCUUAUUUCUAUCAGAAAUCUAAAAUAGUGCAAGAGUAAAAAAUCUGUUGUCCUAAAGUCUAUCAACUUAGGGCUGUAAGGACAGAAGGUAUCCUGAGCAGAUUCUGGUUCCAAUGUAGGGACCAGCACUUAAGCAGUGGGCCUCACGGCUUAUUGACUCCUGUUUGCUCGAUAGAUCUGGGAUAGUGAAGUCUCACCUGUAAAUGGGAAGCCAUCUAUGAAACCAACUGAAUGCCCUGAUUGCUGAUUGUGAGGAUAACUGGUAGUAACUCCUCUUUAGGCAGCAGAAGGGAAAAAUUUGAUGCUUUCACCUAAAAACUUUAUUUGCUACGGGAAUUUUCUUUGGCUAAUGCAACUUUUAAGACCUGUUAGUUCACUCUGAGGCCAAGGAACAUUUAUGUAAGGAAUCUUCAAUAACAUUCCUUCAGUUUGGCAAGCGUGGAACUCCCUGAUGCCAGUUUUUCCCUCUUUUGAAUAUUCAAUUUGCAUAUGGCUUCAUUUGACUUCCCAAAUGUUUUCAAUGUUUAAAAACUGCAGAUAGGAUCAUGUAAAGUUAGAGACAUUUAUUUUGCUUUUAUUUCCUUCUCAGUGAUUUUGGUCUUGAUGGUUCUGAAAGUCUGAGAAUGCACUAUGACCUUUCUUUUCACUGAAGCCAGCUUGCAUUAAGGGCGAUUCCUAAUGGUGCUGAUUUGUACUUCCCAAAGUAGACCCCACAAGUUUCCAUAUGGAGCACCAGUUCUUUUUUUUUUUUAAGUAAUUUUUUUAAUUUAAAUUAGAAACAAGCUUGUUUUACAUGCCAAUCCCAGUUCCCUCUCCCUCCUCUCCUCCCCUGCCCCCCACUGAGCCCUUAUCCAUCCCCUUUUUGCUCCCCAGGGAGGGUGAGGCCUUCCGUGGGGGAUGGUUUUCAAAGUCUGUCAUAUCAUUUGGAGCAGGGCCUAGACCCUCCCUUAUGGAAACCUUCUGUGUUAAACCAGUGUUGGUGAUUCUAUGAUGCUGAUGAUUACAGGUCAGCUCCCUUUCUUCCAUUCCAACUUGUAGAGACUUAACUCUUGAGCGCCAGGAUUCUGCUGAUUCCAGGGCCCUGGGUUAUAGGUAAAGCCUAGGUACUUGGAGGCUCUGAAGUAUUGGUAAGACAAAAUCAUGACAUGGAUACUUAUUACUAAUUAUGAAUGCUUGGCCUUAUCUUACGCUUUUCCCACUAGCUCUUAUAUAAAUUAACCUGUUUCUCUUCAUCUACAUUUUACCUCGGGGCUUUUUAACCUUAUUUUCAUUCGGUAUGUCCUACUCUGUGUCUGACUGGCUGGCGGCUGCCUAGCUGGCUGACUCUGAGCAUCCUCAUCUCUUUUUCCCUCAUUCUCUUUUCUUCCAUUCUCCCCUGAAGCCUAGACUACUCCUACUUAUUCUAUUUGCCUACCAGCCUUGCCAGUCCCUCUACUGCCUAGUUGUUGGCCAUUCAGUCUUUUUUAUUAGGCCAAUUAGGUGCCUUAGGCAACACAUCUUUACAUCAUUACAGAAGUGCAGCAUUAACAAAUAUAACACAUCUUUGUCUAGUUAAAGGACUAUUCUACAACAUAAACAAAUGCUAACACAUCUUUAUAUACAAAAUAAUAUUCCACAGCACAGAAUUUCAUGACUUACUGAUAAAAAAAUACAUUUCCAAGUUGGCAAACUUGAGAGACCAAGAGAAAUAAUGGAGAUGGUGUUGCAUUGUGUUGAAAGUUGGAGAAUGAGCUCAGCCUUCAAAUAUACAUUAUGCUAGUAUCAGCCUAUGAUCUUCCCCUUCCUUGUCAGGAUCUGACCUUUAACACUGGCAGUUUAAGGAGAGUGCUUUUUAUCAUGUCCAAAACUACAUAUUUCUAAGUGGUUCCUAUGUUUGUUCCUAUAAGAAGACAAGAGAAGGGCUGAUGAGAUGGCUCAACAGUUAAGAGCAUGUCUUAUUCUUGAAGGUAAUCCAGGUUCAACUCCUAGCACUCACAACCAUUUGUAAAUCCAAUGUAGGGUACCUCUGCAGGCACUAGGCAUGCAUGUGAUACACAUAUAUACAUGAAUGCAAACCAUUUGUAUACAUAAAAUAAUAAAUAAAUAAAAUUUAAAGAAUAAUAAAUGAAAUAUGUUUAAAAAGAAGCCAAAGGACAAAGAAUGGGGCCAUUAUAGUUUGACUGGGAAAUGACUCACAUAAGCUCAAGUAUUUGAAUACUAGGCUAUCAGUGACACUGUUUUAGGUUGUGGAGUCUUUGUGGGUGUGAGGCAUGGUUGACGGAGGUGGGUUACAGGGGGUUGGCAUUUGAGGGUUAUAUAGCCUGACGUAUGUCUCACUCAACCUCUCUGCUUCCUGAUUGUUUCAGGUUACAAAUGGCAGCCUCACACUUUGCUGCUAGGCAGUGACCUCUCCCAUGUGUUCCCUACCAUGAUGGACUGAUGUUCUCAGGAGCUGUGAGCCAAAGGAAAUCCCCUGUCCUUUAAAUUUUCCCAUCAGUGAUAAGGAAUGUUGUGAAGUAAUCCUUUUUGCACACUGUGAAGAUUUGUCGCUCAGAUUGGUUUAAUAAAAAGCUGGUUGGCCAGUAGCUAGGCAGGAAGUAUUGGUGGGACAAAGGACAAACUAAGGACACUAGGAAGAAGGAGGGUGGAGUCAGAGGAGUUGAUAGGAGCAAGACAUGCUGGAGGACAGGUAAAGCCAUGAGCUACGGGACAAUACAUACAUUAAUAGAAAUGGGUUAAUUUAAGUUGUAAGAGCUAGUUAGUAAUAAGCCUGAGCUAUUGGGCAAGCAUUUGUAAUUAAUAUAAGCCUCUGUGUCAGUUAUUUGGGAGCUGGCGGUAAGGAAAGUAAAGUCUACCUACAGAGGAAAGCAAUGGAUGCUGGGAGUAGCUUUGGGAUAUAGACCCUAUUUAAUUGCCAUGACUCCUUUGGAAAGAAAACUGACAAGAAAUAUCCACAUGGAAAUUAGAUGGUUUCUUAUAUUUCUCCUGCUCUAAAUCUAAAAUUAUUUCCUCCAUCUUUUCAUCUUUACAUGCUCAGUAGGUGAGUAUAUUCAGAUAAUUGGGCAUACACUAUACUCACAUUAUUCAGGGGCUUCUAGAGAAAAUAGAAUCAAUAUGGUUAAGGAAUUGACUCAAGGAACUGGGUCUGCUGGCAGUCUUCAAUCUUCAGGGCAAACCCACAAGCUGGAGAGGGAAGGAAGAGUUAUGGCCCAGUUACAAGCAGACCCAACUCUGGGCCAAAUUCCUGUUGCCCAAGGGCAAGCCAGUCUUCAUUCCAUAGGGCCUUCUGAUGGGAAGAUUAGUUAAGUUUUGGAGGAUCAUCUGACUCACCCCAAACCUUCUGGUUUAAAUGCUAAUCUCAUCUCUUCCCCUAAAUAUGUCAUCAAAGCAACCAGAAUAAUAUUUGACUAAAUAGAUUGGUACUAUGUUCCAGCCAAAUCAAUGUAUAUUAUCCUUUUAAAUAGCACAUAGAAGAUAACAGGGCAUCAUAGCAUGUGGCUCCAAUCUUCCCUGUUAGCAGUGAGUGUGUGAGAUAGGAUGUGAUCUAUCCGGUGGAUCUUAUUUUACAGACAACAACAGAAUUAGAAGAUCAGUGUUUCAUUUGGAACCUACAACCAGCAACUGAUGGAAGCAGAUGCCGUGAUCCACAGCCAAGCACUGAGUUGAGCUCCUGAAGUUCGGUUGAAGAAGGGGAGGAGAGAUCACAUGAACAAGGGUGGGUCAAGACUAUGAUGGAGAAAACCACAGAGACAGCUGACUUAAGUUAUAUGGUACCCCUUGACAGAGCGAACACACAGCCUGAGUUUUCCAGUGGGUGCUGAGAGGAAGGGUCAGUGUGGGUCUUUGUGUUAAUUGCCAUCUACUGCCAAGAUACUUCAUUGAUGAAGACUGAGAGGUGUUCCAAUCUGAUGACAGACCUGCUACACCCAAUUUACGUGGUACUAGGGACCAGGACUUUGUGAAAUUUAGGAUGCUAUUUGACCCAAUGCCUCAAGCUCCGCCAUGACUUCUCCACCAUGAUGGACUGCACCCCUGAACUGUGAGCCAGAACAGACUCUUCCUCUCUUGAGCUGCUGUUAUUAGUGUCCAGAUUUUUUUUAUUCUCUGAAAGAAUAAAAUAUUGCCCCUCAAGAUAACAUGGAAGAGAAAACUGGCUGACCCAAUGGCCUAUUGGAAUGGGCUCCCAAGUGAAAUUGUGAAAUCCUGUUCUCUGGCUAUCUCAUCUGUCUGGUAUGUUAGGGUAAAGAUUGGAGAAGGGUACAGGAGAAUGAAGAUUACCUCAAACUCCAUCCAAUCCUAAAACUGUCUCAUUUUCACAAUGGAAUUCUCACUGUUGGGUAACAGAAACAAAAACAUGUCUUAUCAAGGAGACAUUUUACAAAUAAGAAUUAUAAUUCUUGGAAAUUUUAUUAGAAUUGAUGAAUAAAAGACCUGUAAUGCAUUAUUA